rnacentral:rRNA from 1 species
UGUGGGUAGCGGUGAAAUUCCAAUCGAGCCCGGAGAUAGCUGGUUCUCCCCGAAAUAGCUUUAGGGCUAGCCUCAAGGUGAGAGAUACGGAGGUAGAGCACUGAAUGUCCUAGGGGGUAUUCCACCUACCGAAGACUAUCAAACUCCGAAUGCCGUCAUCUUAUACUUGGGAGUCAGACUGUGGGUGAUAAGCUCCAUAGUCGAAAUGGCAACAGCCCAGAUCGUCAGCUAAGGUCCCUAAAUGUAAGUUAAGUGGUAAAGGAUGUGGGAUUGCACAGACAACCAGGAUGUUGGCUUAGAAGCAGCCACUCAUUCAAAGAGUGCGUAAUAGCUCACUGGUCGAGUGAUCCUGCGCCGAAGAUUUCCGGGGCUAAAACUUACUACCGAAGCUACGGCAUCAGUAAUGAUGGGUAGGGGAGCUUCCCAUACGGGUUGAAGCAUGACCGUAAGGACAUGUGGACAGUAUGGGAGUGAGAAUGUUGGCAUGAGUAGCGAGAUGUGGGUGAGAAUCCCACAGGCCGUAAACCCAAGGUUUCCAGGGGAAGGUUCGUCCGCCCUGGGUUAGUCGGGACCUAAGCUGAGGCCGAAAGGCGUAGGUGAUGGACAACAGGUUGAUAUUACUGUACUACCGAUAACCGUUUGAGAGAAGGGAUGACACAGUAGGAUAAGCUAAGCACACUGUUGGUUAUGUGUGCCCAAGCAUUGAGGCAGUCAAAGUAGGUAAAUCCGCUUUGAUAAUGCUGGGAUGUGAUGGGGAGCGAAAUUUAGUAGCGAAGUAGCUGAUUUCACACUGUCAAGAAAAGUCUCUAUCGAGGUUAAAGGUACCCGUACCGCAAACCGACACAGGUGGGUGAGGAGAGUAUCCUAAGGCCAGCGAGAGAACUGUUGUUAAGGAACUCGGCAAAAUGACCCCGUAACUUAGGGAUAAGGGGUGCCACCAUCAGGUGGCCGCAGAGAAUAGGCCCAAGCGACUGUUUACCAAAAACAUAGGUUUCUGCUAAGUCGCAAGACGAUGUAUAGGAGCUGACGCCUGCCCGGUGCUGGAAGGUUAAGGGGAUCUGUUAGAGCAAUCGAAGCAGUGAACUUAAGCCCCAGUAAACGGCGGCCGUAACUAUAACGGUCCUAAGGUAGCGAAAUUCCUUGUCGGGUAAGUUCCGACCCGCACGAAAGGCGUAACGAUUUGGGCACUGUC